rnacentral:rRNA from 1 species
UACGUAGGGGGCAAGCGUUGUCCGGAAUUAUUGGGCGUAAAGAGCGUGUAGGCGGUCCGGUAAGUCAGCUGUGAAAGUCGGGGGCUCAACCCUCGAAUGCCGGUGGAUACUGUCGGGCUAGAGUACGGAAGAGGCGAGUGGAAUUCCUGGUGUAGCGGUGAAAUGCGCAGAUAUCAGGAGGAACACCUAUUGCGAAGGCAGCUCGCUGGGACGUAACUGACGCUGAGACGCGAAAGCGUGGGGAGCAAACAGG